rnacentral:rRNA from 1 species
UCGGAUUUGUAAACCUCUGUCCUGUAUGAAGAGGAGAAGACGGUAGUACAGGAGGAAGCCCCCGGCUAACUACGUGCCAGCAGCCGCGGUAAUACGUAGGGGGCGAGCGUUGUCCGGAAUGAUUGGGCGUAAAGGGCGCGUAGGCGGCCGCUUAAGUCUGGAGUGAAAGUCCUGUUUUCAAGAUGGGAAUUGCUUUGGAUACUGGGGGGCUUGAGUGCAGGAGAGGUUAUCGGAAUUCCCGGUGUAGCGGUGAAAUGCGUAGAGAUCGGGAGGAACACCAGUGGCGAAGGCGGGUAACUGGACUGCAACUGACGCUGAGGCGCGAAAGUGUGGGGAGCAAACAGGAUUAGAUACCCUGGUAGUCCACACUGUAAACGAUGAAUGCUAGGUGUAAGAGGUAUCGACCCCUUUUGUGCCGGAGUCAACACAAUAAGCAUUCCGCCUGGGGAGUACGGCCGCAAGGUUGAAACUCAAAGGAAUUGACGGGGGCCCGCACAAGCAGCGGAGCAUGUGGUUUAAUUCGACGCAACGCGAAGAACCUUACCAGGUCUUGACAUCCGCUUAAACUGCUGGAGACAGUAGGUCUCUUCGGAGGAAGCGAGACAGGUGGUGCAUGGUUGUCGUCAGCUCGUGUCGUGAGAUGUUGGGUUAAGUCCCGCAACGAGCGCAACCCUUGCUGAUAGUUACUAACGAGCAAAGUCGAGGACUCUAUCAGGACUGCCGGGGACAACUCGGAGGAAGGUGGGGACGACGUCAAAUCAUCAUGCCCCUUAUGACCUGGGCUACACACGUGCUACAAUGGCCGUAACAGAGAGGGGCGAAGCUGUAAGGUGGAGCAGAUCUCAAAAAAGCGGUCUCAGUUCGGAUUGUGGGCUGCAACCCGCCCACAUGAAGUCGGAGUUGCUAGUAAUCGCGGAUCAGCAUGCCGCGGUGAAUACGUUCCCGGGCCUUGUACACACCGCCCGUCACACCAUGGGAGUUGAUAGCACCCGAAACAGGUGAGGUAACCGAAAGGGGCCAGCCUGCUAAGGUGAGAUCAAUGACUGGGGUGAAGUCGUAA